rnacentral:rRNA from 1 species
CGGAGGCAGCAGUGAGGAAUAUUGCACAAUGGGCGAAAGCCUGAUGCAGCAACGCCGCGUGCACGAUGAAGGCCUUCGGGUCGUAAAGUGCUUUUCUGGGAGAUGAGAAAGGACAGUAUCCCAGGAAUAAGUCUCGGCUAACUACGUGCCAGCAGCCGCGGUAAAACGUAGGAGGCAAGCGUUAUCCGGAUUCACUGGGCGUAAAGCGUGUGCAGGCGGUUCGGUAAGUUGGGCGUGAAAUCUCCCGGCUUAACUGGGAGAGGUCGUUCAAUACUACCGGACUAGAGAGCAGUAGAGGAAGAUGGAAUUCCCGGUGUAGUGGUGAAAUGCGUAGAUAUCGGGAGGAACACCAGUGGCGAAGGCGAUCUUCUGGACUGCGUCUGACGCUCAUACACGAAAGCUAGGGUAGUAAACGGGCUUAGAUACCCUGGUAGA